UACGUAGGCAGCAAGCGUUGUUCGGAAUUACUGGGCGUAAAGAGUGUGUAGGCGGUGCUCUAAGUUUGUCGUGAAAUCUCCCGGCUUAACUGGGAGGGUGCGGCGAAAACUGGAGUGCUAGAGGGUGGGAGAGGAAAGCGGAAUUCCUGGUGUAGCGGUGAAAUGCGUAGAUAUCAGGAGGAACACCUGCGGUGUAGACAGCUUUCUGGACCACUUCUGACGCUGAGACAGAAAGCGUGGGUAGCAAACAGG
rnacentral:rRNA from 1 species